UUGAAUUUUAAUGAAGAGUUUGGUUGUAGCUGGCCCAUUCAUUUGGGCAUGUGCACACCUUCCUCUUUCAUCCCACACACACCUGUGAACCUGUGAGACAGAGAUGGGGAAUUUACUUGCUGCUUUUUGGAAUACAAAGGCAAUAGGUUAUUGGACCCCCCCUCUGUCUACUCAAUUAAUAUAAACUCAAUUUAUUUUUAAAAACGAAUGUAAUGGAUGUAACACAUCUCAUAC
rnacentral:misc_RNA from 1 species